rnacentral:rRNA from 1 species
UCCUGGCUCAGGAUGAACGCUAGCGGCAGGCUUAACACAUGCAAGUCGAGGGGCAUCGGGAGUAGCAAUACUUGCCGGCGACCGGCGCAAGGGUGCGUAACGCGUGAGCAACAUGCCCGUAUCAGGGGGAUAAUCCAUGGAAACGUGGUCUAAUACCCCAUAGUAAUUAUGUAAGGCAUCUUAUAUAAUUUAAAGCUUUGGUGGAUACGGAUUGGCUCGCGUGACAUUAGCUAGAUGGUAAGGUAACGGCUUACCAUGGCUACGAUGUCUAGGGGUUCUGAGAGGAAGGCCCCCCACACUGGAACUGAGACACGGUCCAGACUCCUACGGGAGGCAGCAGUGAGGAAUAUUGGACAAUGGAUGGAAAUCUGAUCCAGCCAUGCCGCGUGCAGGAAAGACGGCCCUAUGGGUUGUAAACUGCUUUUGUAUGGGAGCAAUAAGGGCUACGCGUAGUCCGAUGAGAGUACCAUACGAAUAAGCACCGGCUAACUCCGUGCCAGCAGCCGC